AGUGAACGCUGGCGGUAGGCCUAACACAUGCAAGUCGAACGGCAGCACAGUAAGAGCUUGCUCUUACGGGUGGCGAGUGGCGGACGGGUGAGGAAUACAUCGGAAUCUACUUUUUCGUGGGGGAUAACGUAGGGAAACUUACGCUAAUACCGCAUACGACCUACGGGUGAAAGCAGGGGAUCUUCGGACCUUGCGCGAUUGAAUGAGCCGAUGUCGGAUUAGCUAGUUGGCGGGGUAAAGGCCCACCAAGGCGACGAUCCGUAGCUGGUCUGAGAGGAUGAUCAGCCACACUGGAACUGAGACACGGCCCAGACUCCUACGGGAGGCAGCAGUGGGGAAUAUUGGACAAUGGGCGAAAGCCUGAUCCAGCAAUACCGCGUGUGUGAAGAAGGCCUUCGGGUUGUAAAGCCCUUUUGUUGGGAAAGAAAAGCAGCAGGUUAAUACCCCGCUGUUCUGACGGUACCCAAAGAAUAAGCACCGGCUAACUUCGUG
rnacentral:rRNA from 1 species